rnacentral:rRNA from 1 species
UACGAAGGGGGCUAGCGUUGCUCGGAAUCACUGGGCGUAAAGGGCGCGUAGGCGGGCUCUUAAGUCAGGGGUGAAAUCCUGGAGCUCAACUCCAGAACUGCCUUUGAUACUGAGGAUCUUGAGUACGGGAGAGGUGAGUGGAACUGCGAGUGUAGAGGUGAAAUUCGUAGAUAUUCGCAAGAACACCAGUGGCGAAGGCGGCUCACUGGCCCGUUACUGACGCUGAGGCACGAAAGCGUGGGGAGCAAACAGG